rnacentral:rRNA from 1 species
GACGAACGCUGGCGGCGUGCUUAACACAUGCAAGUCGAACGGAAAGGCCCUGCUUUUGUGGGGUGCUCGAGUGGCGAACGGGUGAGUAACACGUGAGUAACCUGCCCUUGACUUUGGGAUAACUUCAGGAAACUGGGGCUAAUACCGGAUAGGAGCUCCUGCUGCAUGGAGGGGGUUGGAAAGUUUCGGCGGUUGGGGAUGGACUGGCGGGUUAUCAGCUUGUUGGUGGGGUAGUGGCUUACCAAGGCUUUGACGGGUAGCCGGCCUGAGAGGGUGACCGGCCACAUUGGGCCUGAGAUACGGCCCAGACUCCUACGGGAGGCAGAAGUGGGGAAUAUUGCACAAUGGGCGGACGCCUGAUGCAGCAACGCCGCGUGCGGGAUGACGGCCUUCGGGUUGUAAACCGCUUUCGCCUGUGACGAAGCGUGAGUGACGGUAAUGGGUAAAGAAGCACCGGCUAACUACGUG